rnacentral:rRNA from 1 species
UACGUAGGUGGCAAGCGUUGUCCGGAUUAUUGGGUUUAAAGGGUGCGUAGGCGGCUUUGUAAGUCAGUGGUGAAAUAUGGCAGCUCAACUGUCAAGGUGCCAUUGAUACUGCGGAGCUUGAGUACAGAUGAGGUAGGCGGAAUUGACGGUGUAGCGGUGAAAUGCUUAGAUAUCGUCAAGAACACCUAUAGCGAAGGCAGCUUACUAGGCUGUAACUGACGCUGAGGCACGAAAGUGUGGGGAUCAAACAGG